ensembl:lncRNA
UAUAAAAACCAUUACGCCUAUGGAGUCCCCGUAAACCACCAAUGCAGGAUGAAUCCCAGACUUGCAAGGCGUAUAGCAGAGGGUAUUGCAAGCUGCUGUAAAAUGUUUUGGUCGUGUUUUUGUUCAGGGUGCCACUCACUCAUUCAGUAUACAGCAAAAAAGCCCCAGACCAUCACGCUUCCACCUCCACGUUUGACUCGUUCCUCCUCCGUCCUUUCACCUACUCAACAAAACCUGUGUGACAAACACAAGAUUUCACAUUUUGACUCAUCGGUCGAGACCUUCCACCUCCAGGAGUCCAUUGACAAUGCCCAGCUGGGAGCUGCAGAUCUCGCUCAGGCCCGGUCUGACUUACCAGAGAGCUGAACAAUGACCUGUGUGAGGAAAGUAAUCUAAUUCAGCGCUCAGAAGUUAUUUGAAUAUAGAAUGUUAAUGUAGACACUACUCUCAAAAGUUUGGGGUCGAUAAGAUUUUUUGUAAUGUUUUUGAAAGAAUUCUCUUAUGCAUUUAUUUGAUCGAAAAUACAUUUUUAAUAGGUAAUGUUGUGAAAUAUUAUACAAUUCAAAAUGAAUGUUUUCAAUAAAAACAUUUUUAAAAAAUGUCAAUAUAUUUUAAGAUAUAAUUUAUUCCUGUUAUGCAAAGCUGAAUUUUCAGCAUCAUUCCUCCAGUCAGUUUAUAUUCAAUUUAAAGUGCUUUAUUUGCAUGAUUGUGUUUACAUAUAACAUUGCCAAAACAUUAUAUGCUAGUAAUGACAGGAAUAUACAAGUAAAAGAAAUAUACAAUUUGUUAAGUUAAUAAGUUAUUUGUUAUUGUGUUAAGUAAUUAAUAAAACUAAAAUGAGAAAUAUAUGUAUAUAAAUGUCUAUUUUAUUAUAUCUAUAUCUAUAUAUAUAUAUAUAUAUAUAAUUAUUUAUAAUAAAAAACAGUAUUUUUGUGAAAACAGUGCUACAAUUUUUCAGUGUUCUAUGAUGAAUAGAAAGUUCAAAAGAACAGCAUUUAUUUACACUGAUCUUCGGUGUCACAGUUGAUCAAUUUAAUGCAACCCUCCUGAAUAAAACUAUUUAUUUCUUAAAAUAAAUUCUGAACCCCAAAAUGUUUUUUGUUUUUUGUUUUUUACAUUUA